rnacentral:rRNA from 1 species
AGGAUGAACGCUGGCGGCGUGCCUAACACAUGCAAGUCGAACGUCCUGUCUCGCAAGAGGCAGGGAGUGGCGGACGGGUGAGUACCACGUGGGUCAUCUACCGUGAGGUGAGGAAUACCGGCGAGAAAUCGCCGACAAGACCGCAUAGGCUCGAUGCAAGUCGAGCAAAGCUCUUUCGAGAGAGGGAGCGCCACACGAGGAGCCUGCGCCCGAUUAGCUAGCUGGUGGAGUAACGGUUCACCAGGGCGACGAUCGGUAGCUGGUCUGAGAGGACGAUCAGCCACACUGGGAUUGAGAACGGCCCAGACUCCUACGGGGGGCAGCAGUGAGGAAUUUUCGUCAAUGGGGGCAACCCUGAACGAGCAACGCCGCGUGCAGGAAGAAGGUUUUCGGAUCGUAAACUGCUUUUCGUCGGGGAAGAGAACGGACGGUACCCGAGGAAUCAGCCCCGGCUAACUACGUGCCAGCAGCCGC